GAAAAGUGCAAAUAUGUUUCAGAAGGAUGAGACGUCCUUUCGUCUGAAGCGUCCUAUGAAUUCGUCAGCUGUUUGGGCGGAGUUAGCGACUCCUUCAGCUGCACUGCUCCCAGGAACGCUGCUCUUGUGU